rnacentral:rRNA from 1 species
AAACUUUGCAAUGUGCGAAAGCACGACAAGGUUAAUCCGAGUGGUUUCUGCUAAAGGAACCUUUUGACAGUCCUAGAAACACUGUUGAAUAAGGGGUGGGCAAGUUCUGGUGUCAGCCGCCGCGGUAAAACCAGCACCUCAAGUGGUCAGGAUGAUUAUUGGGCCUAAAGCAUCCGUAGCCGGCUCUGUAAGUUUUCGGUUAAAUCUGUACGCUUAACGUACAGGCUGCUGGGAAUACUGCAGAGCUAGGGAGUGGGAGAGGUAGACGGUACUCGGGAGGAAGUGGUAAAAUGCUUUGAUCUCUCGAUGACCACCUGUGGCGAAGGCGGUCUACCAGAACACGUCCGACGGUGAGGGAUGAAAGCUGGGGGAGCAAACCGGAUUAGAUACCCGGGUAGUCCCAGCUGUAAACUAUGCAAACUCAGUGAUGCACUGGCUUAUGGCCAGUGCAGUGUUGCAGGGAAGCCGUUAAGUUUGCCGCCUGGGAAGUACGUACGCAAGUAUGAAACUUAAAGGAAUUGGCGGGGGAGCAC